AUUUGCAGAAGACAGCUGUAGGAAACGAUGGAAAGGACUGCGUGACACGUACAGAAAAUGUAAACGUGCACAGCGACUGGAUUCCGGCAGUGGUGCUCCUAUUCCAUGCAAAUCAUGCAUUUCAUAGCGGUCAUUUGUUUCUUAAGAGCGAAGGACGUACUUAAAGAACAUAUGUAUAUUUAACAACACGAAGAGUAUAGAGGGGAUAGAUUCCGUAAGUAUAUUUCAAACAACUAAAAUAAGAUAUAUUUUUAUAAUAAAUAGUCACCCACUUUCACAGGGUGGAUGGGCAAACAAUAAA